UAGUGAAUACACCCUGAUAAAUAACUUCCCUAGUUGGCUAAAACCUGACUAGGGGCUUUUUUU
rnacentral:sRNA from 1 species